GUGCAGAGGAAGAUGAAAGGAUUCAAGGGGGUGCAUCUACCAUCGGACGCAAUGAGAAGAUCAACUUGGUUUAGUUAUCUUGUAUCGUAAUUUUAUUUUUUUCUUUAUGUAUGCUUCUUUAUUUGAUUAAUAAAAAAUAAUUUUAUUAUAAUUUCAUACUUAUUUCUUAAUUUCUUAUAAACUAUUAUUUUUUUUAUAUUUUCAAAAUAAUCAAU
rnacentral:lncRNA from 1 species